GGGGAAAAUAAAAUUAAUUUGCAUUUAGUUUGCGCCAAAAAUCUGGCUUUCUCCA
rnacentral:tRNA from 1 species